rnacentral:rRNA from 1 species
UACGAAGGGGGCUAGCGUUGCUCGGAAUCACUGGGCGUAAAGGGCGCGUAGGCGGGUCUUUAAGUCAGGGGUGAAAUCCCGGGGCUCAACCCCGGAACUGCCUUUGAUACUGGGUAUCUGGAGGUCGAGAGAGGCGAGUGGAAUUCCGAGUGUAGAGGUGAAAUUCGUAGAUAUUCGGAGGAACACCAGUGGCGAAGGCGGCUCGCUGGCUCGAUACUGACGCUGAGGUGCGAAAGCGUGGGGAGCAAACAGG